rnacentral:rRNA from 1 species
ACGGUAACAGCACUUCGGUGGCUGACGAGUGGCGAACGGGUGAGUAAUACAUCGGAACGUGCCCGAGAGUGGGGGAUAACGCAGCGAAAGCUGUGCUAAUACCGCAUACGAUCUACGGAUGAAAGCAGGGGACCGCAAGGCCUUGCGCUCACGGAGCGGCCGAUGGCAGAUUAGGUAGUUGGUGGGAUAAAAGCUUACCAAGCCGACGAUCUGUAGCUGGUCUGAGAGGACGACCAGCCACACUGGGACUGUGACACGGCCCAGACUCCUACGGGAGGCAGCAGUGGGGAAUUUUGGACAAUGGGCGAAAGCCUGAUCCAGCCAUGCCGCGUGCAGGAUGAAGGCCUUCGGGUUGUAAACUGCUUUUGUACGGAACGAAAAGGUCUUUUCUAAUAAAGAAGGCUCAUGACGGUACCGUAAGAAUAAGCACCGGCUAACUACGUGCCAGCAGCCGCGGUAAUACGUAGGGUGCAAGCGUUAAUCGGAAUUACUGGGCGUAAAGCGUGCGCAGGCGGUUAUAUAAGACAGAUGUGAAAUCCCCGGGCUCAACCUGGGAACUGCAUUAGUGACUGUAUAGCUAGAGUGCGGCAGAGGGGGAUGGAAUUCCGCGUGUAGCAGUGAAAUGCGUAGAUAUGCGGAGGAACACCGAUGGCGAAGGCAAUCCCCUGGGCCUGCACUGACGCUCAUGCACGAAAGCGUGGGGAGCAAACAGGAUUAGAUACCCUGGUAGUCCACGCCCUAAACGAUGUCAACUGGUUGUUGGGAAUUUACUUUCUCAGUAACGAAGCUAACGCGUGAA